GGGAUUGUAGUUCAAUCGAUUAGAGCACCGCCCUGUCAAGGCGGAAGCUGCGGGUUCGAGCCCCGCAGCUUCG
rnacentral:tRNA from 1 species